ACGCCGAAACACGCGUACAACGACAACCCACACCCGCCGCUGACUCCGCCGCCGUCGUACAUGUCAAGCCCUCGAGCAAACCCUUCGUCGCCGUCGCCGCUGCUGCUGCAGAGAAAGCAGUCCAGCAAGAAUUCCAAGUUGCUUCAACACCAUCUUCCCGAGGGCUCCAUCGAAGAAAAUCAACGCCUCGAACUCGCCGCCGGCGGGGUCAUCUUCUUCUUCCUCCUCCUCUUUUUCGUCUUCUUAUUCACUGCCGUCGACGCCAUUUCACGCCGGGAAAGAAAAUAACUUCAAAACCCGGUCGAGAUCGACUGUUCGUCUGGGCAUGGAGGAAGAUCAUGAAUACGAGGAAGUGGCGGCGGCGGCGGCGGCCGGGCGGCGGAGGAAUAAUUCUCCGACAUCAACUUUGUGCUUUGGUCCGUCUUCGAGGAGGUUCAGAGGUUAUUCUUACCCGAUCAAAAGUGUGAAGAAGGUUGUACUCUCCAUUGUUGGACAUGGAAAUAAUUAAUUAAUUAAUGCUUAAUUAAUUAGAAACAGAAAAAUAAAAUAAAAUUAAAAAAGUGAUGUUAAUUAGCUAUACAUAUAGUUUGAUUAAUCCUGAGAUGUAAGUGUGAAUUUCAACAAGUGUAUUUUGUAUUAAUCAUGAUCAUGUCCUGAUUUUUGUGUGUCGAAAAUCCAAGAGACAAGUUAAACAAAACAAUAUUUCAAUGUUUGAUGAU
rnacentral:lncRNA from 1 species